rnacentral:misc_RNA from 1 species
GAUGAAGAACGUAGCGAAAUGCGAUAAGUAAUGUGAAUUGCAGAAUUCAGUGAAUCAUCGAAUCUUUGAACGCACAUUGCGCCCGCCAGUAUUCUGGCGGGCAUGCCUGUUCGAGCGUCAUUACAACCCUCAGGCCCCCGGGCCUGGCGUUGGGGAUCGGCGGAGCCCCCCGUGGGCACACGCCGUCCCCCAAAUGCAGUGGCGGUCCCGCCGCAGCUUCCAUCGCGUAGUAGCUAACACCUCGCGACUGGAGAGCGGCGCGGCCACGCCGUAAAACACCCAACUCUUCCGAAGUUGACCUCGAAUCAGGUAGGAAUACCCGCUGAACUUAAGCAUAUCAAUAAGCGGAGGA